UUUGAAAGUUUGAAGGUAUGAUGACUCCGAGCCAAGGGCAAGCGGCAUUGCUGACAUUCUGCUCCUGCAUUAGCCUCACUAGCGUUGGCCUUGUUCUUACAGACUGUUCCGGACAUUGGUAACAACUGAUUUUGGAUCAUUGCAUCGAACCCCUUAGCUGGAGCACACUAUUGGAUGCGGGCAUCGUGGAAGGAGCAAAUUAAGGUAAAGAUGAUAGUGGCGGAAGACGGACGCUAUCGUAGAUCGUUGAGCAGACGAGGAAGGAGCUGUAGCUCAGUGAGAAGGGAAUGGUUUAUGUAAAGGGCAUAUUUGAGAGAUGACCAACACCCCAACACUUCUGAUGGGGUGUUGAUCAUCCAACGCUCGAAGCAAUACUUACUGCAGGGGCAUGCUAUUACUAGGAAGCUUAAUUCUGAUGAUGAGCUGCCUCAAUUUGAACAAGCCUGGAAGAAAAAUGCUAGAAAGCAUUUGCCUGGUUGGAGCGAGCAUUUUGAUGGCCAUGUUGGACGGGCCACAGUCAAGCAUCGCCUUUGUCGGACAAGGAUCAUGAAGAGAGGGCAAAAAGAUGUGAAUUUGUGUCUGAGCUAUUAUGAUCCACUGUCAUUGACGAUAAUUUAUGAGUAGGUGCAGAA